CCUUAAGUUCUCAUGAGAGGACAGCACACUGGUGCAGCACAGGAACUUGGAGAGCAUCCAGUUCAGAACCACUGAUUCUUUUUAGACAGGAAGCCAAGCCCAGAGGGAAGUUAAUGGUCUUGUCUCCUGACUCUCCCAAGCUCUUCCUACUGCUUUAUAAAGGAAGUAUCAGAGACCACUAAGGAGAGAGAAUUUGGUAGAUGUGGUGGCAUGUGCCUGAAACCAAUAACUGAGAGACCGAGGCAGGUGUACCACUGCAAGUUUGAGGCCAGCAUGGACGAUGUAGAGUUCUAGCCAGUGAAGGCUACUUCUUGAGACUUUGCCUCAAACAAAAGGCAAUCAGGGGCUGAGUAGAUAUGUCAGUGGUUAAAAGAAUGUGCUGAGCAAGUGUGAGUACUAAAUGUACCAAAACCCAUGUAAGGAUGCGUGUAGUGGCUAUUCCUGAUUGUCAGAUUGACUGUAUUUGGAAUGAACUACAAUCCAGAAUUGGAGGCUCACAAGUGAUCCUAAUCUGGAGGCUGGGAGAUACAAGUUUCUGAUCUGGAUCUUGGCAUGGAGAUCUUGAGGCAUAGCGGCUAUGAAUUCCAUAAGAUUAAGACACGGAGACCUCUGAGUUCAAGGUCAUCUGGGACUAAAGUCAUGGUGGCAUAUAACUUUAAUCUAGGCUACACCUUCUGCUGGAGACCUACAUAAGGACAUUGAAAUAAGGAAGAUUGACACCCUUUCUCUCCUUCACCUGCUUGCCUUGGACUGGUAGAUCCUUGGACUUCCAUUCACAGCUGCUGCUGACCAUUGUUGUUGGGAGUUGGACUGCAGACGGCAAACAGGAGAAGACUGUCUCAUGGGCAGCGAGGAGGAGGGUCCCAAAGCCCACCCACCCAGUGACACACUUUCUCCAACAAGACCACAACUACUCCAACAAGGCCACACCUCCAAGUAGUACCACUCCCUGGGCCAAGCAUAUUCAAACCACCACGUCAUCCUAUAGAAACUCCUAAGACACUCUUACACGCGUUCUCGCGACCGGCCAGGAAGAACACAACAAACCGGAAUGUUCUGCGGCAAAAGCUUUAUUGCUUACAUCUUCAGGAGCCAGAGAGCAAGAGAGCAAGAGUGCAAGAGUGCAAGAGCUCUAUUGCUUACAUCUUUAGGAGCCAGAGCGCAAGAGAGCAAGAGAGCAAGCAAGAGCGCAAGAGAGAGAAUGGUGAAACCCCAUCCCUUUUUAAGGAGAAUUAUCCUUCGCCUAGGACGUGUCACUCCCUGAUUGGCUGCAGCCCAUCGGCCGAG
rnacentral:lncRNA from 1 species